rnacentral:rRNA from 1 species
UACAGAGGUCCCGAGCGUUGUUCGGAUUUAUUGGGCGUAAAGAGCUCGUAGGCGGCUUGUCGCGUCAACUGUGAAAACCCGAGGCUCAACCAUGUGGUCUGCAGUCGAUACGGGCAGGCUAGAAUUCGGUAGGGGAGACUGGAAUUCCUGGUGUAGCGGUGAAAUGCGCAGAUAUCAGGAGGAACACCGGUGGCGAAGGCGGGUCUCUGGGCCGAUAUUGACGCUGAGGAGCGAAAGCGUGGGGAGCGAACAGG